rnacentral:tRNA from 2 species
GCGCCCGUAGCUCAAUGGAUAGAGCACUGGACUUCGGAUCCAGGGGUUGGGGGUUCGACUCCCUCCGGGCGCGCCA